UAGGGAAUAUUAGUAAUGGGCGAAAGCCUGAACUAGCAACGCCGCGUGUGCGAAGAAGGCCUUCGGGUUGUAAAGCACUCUUUGAGAGGAUGAGGAAGGACGGUACUCUCAGAAUAAGUCUCGGCUAACUACGUGCCAGCAGCCGCGGUAACACGUAGGAGGCGAACGUUAUCCGGAUUUACUGGGCGUAAAGCGCGUGUAGGUGGUUUGGUAAGUAGGGCGUGAAAGCUCCUGGCUCAACUGGGAGAGGCCGUUCUAAACUGCCGAACUAGAGGAUGGUAGAGGGAGGUGGAAUUCCGGGUGUAGCGGUGGAAUGCGCAGAUAUCCGGAGGAACACCAGUGGCGAAAGCGGCCUCCUGGACCAUUCCUGACACUCAGACGCGAAGGCUAGGGUGGCAAACGG
rnacentral:rRNA from 1 species